UGAAUCUUACCAAUGAGACGGGAGAAUUUGAAUAUCUAAUCCGUUGUGUUUCCACAUUACGACCAAACGGCUAAUCCUUCCCAGCGCCUAGCUGUUGCAGUGUUGAUUGCAGUCACCUUGAUUGUUGAGAUAAAUAAACCCCAAAGGCACUAUUAAGAGCCAUCCAGACACAGGUCACUGCAUUUUUUGCUGUCAGUGCCCUGAAUGCUAAGCUGUAAAAAAUUAUUUUUCCAGAAACGCUUGACCAAAGAAUAAUAAUACAAGGAGACCAAAAACAAGACUAUUAAGCAGACAAAAAAAAAACUUCAUACAUAUAUACAUAUAAAAACGCUUUGACAUUAUAUUAAAAACGUGCAAAGACCAUCAGCAGUUCCUGCAGA